UACGUAGGGGGCAAGCGUUGUCCGGAUUUAUUGGGCGUAAAGCGCGUGUAGGCGGCCAGAUAGGUCUGCUGUGAAAACUCGAGGCUCAACCUCGAGCUGUCGGCGGAAACCAUCUGGUUAGAGUCCGGAAGAGGAGAGUGGAAUUCCUGGUGUAGCGGUGAAAUGCGCAGAUAUCAGGAAGAACACCUAUGGCGAAGGCAGCUCUCUGGGACGGUACUGACGCUGAGACGCGAAAGCGUGGGGAGCGAACAGG
rnacentral:rRNA from 1 species